AUUGAACGCUGGCGGCAGGCCUAACACAUGCAAGUCGAGCGAGCGGCGGACGGGUGAGUAAUGUCUGGGAAACUGCCCGAUGGAGGGGGAUAACUCCUGGAAACGGUAUCUAAUACCGCAUACUAUCAGAUGUGCCCAGAUGGGAUUAGCUAGUAGGUGGGGUAAUGGCUCACCUAGGCGACGAGCCCUAGCUGGUCUGAGAGGAUGAUCAGCCACACUGGAACUGAGACACGGUCCAGACUCCUACGGGAGGCAGCAGUGGGGAAUAUUGCACAAUGGGCGCAAGCCUGAUGCAGCCAUGCCGCGUGUGUGAAGAAGGCCUUAGGGUUGUAAAGCACUUUCAGUGGGGAGGCGUUACCCGCAGAAGAAGCACCGGCUAACUCCGUGCCAGCAGCCGCGGUAAUAC
rnacentral:rRNA from 1 species